AUUGAACGCUGGCGGAAUGCUUUACACAUGCAAGUCGAACGGCAGCACGGGGGCAGCCCUGGUGGCGAGUGGCGAACGGGUGAGUAAUACAUCGGAACGUGCCCGGUCGUGGGGGAUAACGUAGCGAAAGUUACGCUAAUACCGCAUACGAUCUGAGGAUGAAAGCGGGGGACCUUCGGGCCUCGCGUGAUCGGAGCGGCCGAUGUCAGAUUAGGUAGUUGGUGGGGUAAAGGCCUACCAAGCCGACGAUCUGUAGCUGGUCUGAGAGGACGACCAGCCACACUGGGACUGAGACACGGCCCAGACUCCUACGGGAGGCAGCAGUGGGGAAUUUUGGACAAUGGGCGCAAGCCUGAUCCAGCCAUGCCGCGUGCAGGACGAAGGCCUUCGGGUUGUAAACUGCUUUUGUACGGAACGAAAAGGCUCUGGCUAAUACCUGGGGCUCAUGACGGUACCGUAAGAAUAAGCACCGGCUAACUACGUG
rnacentral:rRNA from 1 species